CACCACAAGAACGCGUGGAGCAUGUGGCUUAAUUUGACUCAACGCGGGAAAUCUUACCGGGUCCGGACACACUGAGGAUUGACAGGCAAUAUAUGUGACUCUUCGGAGUUUGCAUUGUUAAAUAUGCUAGUCCUUUCAUGAUUAUGUGAUAGGUGGUGCAUGGCCGUUCUUAGUUCGUGGAGUGAUCUGUCUGCUUAAUUGCGUUUCAAAUUACUUAUAAGGUAGCAAUACGCGAUGAAGCUUUCAAUAGUCCUCACGGAUUCACUUGAGUCUCUCGCUUCGCUAUCCUUUCGAAUGCAACGAACGUGACCGCAACCUCUUGUUGCCUUCGUUUAACAUCCUGCAGCUCGCUGUGGGUACUGAGGGCUUCACUCGGUGACUUUGGGCUGAGCAAUCGGUCUUUUUGAGCUGAGUAAACUAGAGGGACCGCUGUCAACUUCUUAAACCAGAGGAAGGUUGC
rnacentral:rRNA from 1 species